UGCCUUCGGAACUGUGAGACAGGUGCUGCAUGGCUGUCGUCAGCUCGUGUUGUGAAAUGUUGGGUUAAGUCCCGCAACCGAGCGCAACCCUUAUCCUUGUUGCCAGCGGUCCGGCCGGGAACUCAAAGGAGACUGCCAGUGAUAAACUGGAGGAAGGUGGGGAUGACGUCAAGUCAUCAUGGCCCUUACGACCAGGGCUACACACGUGCUACAAUGGCGCAUACAAAGAGAAGCGACCUCGCGAGAGCAAGCGGACCUCAUAAAGUGCGUCGUAGUCCGGAUUGGAGUCUGCAACUCGACUCCAUGAAGUCGGAAUCGCUAGUAAUCGUGGAUCAGAAUGCCACGGUGAAUACGUUCCCGGGCCUU
rnacentral:rRNA from 1 species